UCUGUAAGCCUGCGAAGGUGUGCUGUGAGGCAUGCUGGAGGUAUCAGAAGUGCGAAUGCUGACAUAAGUAACGAUAAAGCGGGUGAAAAGCCCGCUCGCCGGAAGACCAAGGGUUCCUGUCCAACGUUAAUCGGGGCAGGGUGAGUCGACCCCUAAGGCGAGGCCGAAAGGCGUAGUCGAUGGGAAACAGGUUAAUAUUCCUGUACUUGGUGUUACUGCGAAGGGGGGACGGAGAAGGCUAUGUUGGCCGGGCGACGGUUGUCCCGGUUUAAGCGUGUAGGCUGGUUUUCCAGGCAAAUCCGGAAAAUCAAGGCUGAGGCGUGAUGACGAGGCACUACGGUGCUGAAGCAACAAAUGCCCUGCUUCCAGGAAAAGCCUCUAAGCAUCAGGUAACAUCAAAUCGUACCCCAAACCGACACAGGUGGUCAGGUAGAGAAUACCAAGGCGCUUGAGAGAACUCGGGUGAAGGAACUAGGCAAAAUGGUGCCGUAACUUCGGGAGAAGGCACGCUGAUAUGUAGGUGAAGUCCCUCGCGGAUGGAGCUGAAAUCAGUCGAAGAUACCAGCUGGCUGCAACUGUUUAUUAAAAACACAGCACUGUGCAAACACGAAAGUGGACGUAUACGGUGUGACGCCUGCCCGGUGCCGGAAGGUUAAUUGAUGGGGUUAGCCGCAAGGCGAAGCUCUUGAUCGAAGCCCCGGUAAACGGCGGCCGUAACUAUAACGGUCCUAAGGUAGCGAAAUUCCUUGUCGGGUAAGUUCCGACCUGCACGAAUGGCGUAAUGAUGGCCAGGCUGUCUCCACCCGAGACUCAGUGAAAUUGAACUCGCUGUGAAGAUGCAGUGUACCCGCGGCAAGACGGAAAGACCCCGUGAACCUUUACUAUAGCUUGACACUGAACAUUGAGCCUUGAUGUGUAGGAUAGGUGGGAGGCUUUGAAGUGUGGACGCCAGUCUGCAUGGAGCCGACCUUGAAAUACCACCCUUUAAUGUUUGAUGUUCUAACGUUGACCCGUAAUCCGGGUUGCGGACAGUGUCUGGUGGGUAGUUUGACUGGGGCGGUCUCCUCCUAAAGAGUAACGGAGGAGCACGAAGGUUGGCUAAUCCUGGUCGGACAUCAGGAGGUUAGUGCAAUGGCAUAAGCCAGCUUGACUGCGAGCGUGACGGCGCGAGCAGGUGCGAAAGCAGGUCAUAGUGAUCCGGUGGUUCUGAAUGGAAGGGCCAUCGCUCAACGGAUAAAAGGUACUCCGGGGAUAACAGGCUGAUACCGCCCAAGAGUUCAUAUCGACGGCGGUGUUUGGCACCUCGAUGUCGGCUCAUCACAUCCUGGGGCUGAAGUAGGUCCCAAGGGUAUGGCUGUUCGCCAUUUAAAGUGGUACGCGAGCUGGGUUUAGAACGUCGUGAGACAGUUCGGUCCCUAUCUGCCGUGGGCGCUGGAGAACUGAGGGGGGCUGCUCCUAGUACGAGAGGACCGGAGUGGACGCAUCACUGGUGUUCGGGUUGUCAUGCCAAUGGCACUGCCCGGUAGCUAAAUGCGGAAGAGAUAAGUGCUGAAGGCAUCUAAGCACGAAACUUGCCCCGAGAUGAGUUCUCCCUGACUCCUUGAGAGUCUUGAAGGAACGUUGAAGACGACGACGUUGAUAGGCCGGGUGUGUAAGCGCAGCGAUGCGUUGAGCUAACCGGUACUAAUGAACCGUGAGGCUUAACCUU
rnacentral:rRNA from 1 species